AAUGCUUCGGCAUUAGAGAAGGAGAUUGGUCCAGAACAGUUUCCAGUGAAUGAGCACUAUUUUGGAUUAGUCAGUUUUGGGAAUACCUGCUACUGCAAUUCAGUUCUUCAAGCACUUUAUUUUUGUCGUCCAUUUCGGGAAACAGUUCUUGCAUAGAAGAGUCAACCUAGGAAAAAGGAGAGCCUUCUUACAUGCUUAGCAGAUCUCUUCCAUAGCAUAGCCACUCAGAAGAAAAAGUUGGAGUAAUACCUCCCAAGAAGUUCAUCACAAGAUUACAGAAAGAAGAUGAGCUUUUUGACAACUACAUGCAACAAGAUCCCCCAUGAAUUCUUAAAUUACCUACUAAAUACAAUUGCUGAUAUUUUACAAGAAGAGAGAAAGCAAGAAAAACAAAAUGGCCGCUUACCUAAUGGUAAUAUUAAUAAUGAAAAUAAUAACAGCACCCCAGACCCAAUGCGGGUUCAUGAGAUUUUUCAGGGAACAUUAACUAAUGAAACCAGAUGUCUUACUUGUGAAACUAUGAGCAGCAAAGAUGAAGAUUUUUUAGACCUGUCUGUUGACGUGGAACAAAAUACAUCAAUUACUCACUGCUUAAGGGCUUUCAGCAACACAGAAACCCUAUGCAGUGAGUACAAGUAUUACUGUGAAGAGUGUCGCAGCAAACAGGAAGCACACAAACGGAGGAAAGUUUAAAAACUGCCCAUGAUUCUAGCUCCACACCUGAAGAGAUUUAAAUAUAAGGAUCAACUUCAUCGAUUUACAAAACUCUCUUACCAGGUAGUUUUUCCUUUAAAACUUAGUCUAUUUAACACUUCAGGUGAUGCCACCAAUCCAGACAGAAUGUACAGCCUUGUUGCUGUUGUGGUUCACUGUGGAAGACUUAUUUGUAGACUUGCUUCAUAUGAAAGUGUGGAGGGUGUGUGCAGCCUCAUUGUCAGCAUUGGUCCCAGUCGAGGCCAUUGUAUUGUAAUAGUUAAGAGUCAUGAUUUUUGGUUGUUGUUUGAUGACGACAUUGUAGAAAAAAUAGAUGCACAAGCUAUUGAAGAAGUCUACGGGCUGACAUCAGAUAUCUCAAAGAACUCUGAGUCUGGUUACAUCCUUUUCUAUCAGUCUCGGG
rnacentral:lncRNA from 1 species